UACGUAGGUGGCAAGCGUUAUCCGGAAUUAUUGGGCGUAAAGAGUGAGCAGGCGGCAGGAUAAGUUUGGAGUGAAAGCGUGAAGCUCAACUUCAUACAGCUUCAAAAACUGUCCAGCUAGAGUAUAGGAGAAGUAAGCGGAAUUCCAUGUGUAGCGGUGAAAUGCGUAGAUAUAUGGAGGAACACCAGUGGCGAAGGCGGCUUACUAGCCUAAUACUGACGCUCAGUCACGAAAGCGUGGGGAGCAAAUA
rnacentral:rRNA from 1 species